UACAGAGGGUGCAGGCGUUAAUCGGAAUUACUGGGCGUAAAGCGCGCGUAGGUGGUUUGGUAAGUCGGAUGUGAAAUCCCCGGGCUCAACCUGGGAACUGCAUUCGAAACUGCCUGGCUAGAGUUUGAGAGAGGGAAGUGGAAUUCCACAUGUAGCGGUGAAAUGCGUAGAGAUGUGGAGGAACACCGAUGGCGAAGGCAGCCCCCUGGGCUAACACUGACGCUCAGGCACGAAAGCGUGGGGAGCAAACAGG
rnacentral:rRNA from 1 species